UACGUAGGGUGCAAGCGUUAAUCGGAAUUACUGGGCGUAAAGGGCGCGUAGGCGGCCUUCUAAGUCAGACGUGAAAUCCCUCGGCUCAACCGAGGAACUGCGUCUGAUACUGGAAGGCUUGAAUCCGGGAGAGGGAUGUGGAAUUCCAGGUGUAGCGGUGAAAUGCGCAGAUAUCAGGAGGAACACCGGUGGCGAAGGCGGGUCUCUGGGCCGAUACUGACGCUGAGGAGCGAAAGCGUGGGGAGCGAACAGG
rnacentral:rRNA from 1 species